rnacentral:rRNA from 1 species
GAUGAACGCUAGCUACAGGCUUAACACAUGCAAGUCGAGGGACCGGCGCACGGGUGAGUAACACGUAUCCAACCUGCCCUUUACUCGGGGAUAGCCUUUCGAAAGAAAGAUUAAUACCCGAUAUAAUGGAUGGGGAUGCGUUCCAUUAGGUUGUUGGUGAGGUGACGGCCCACCAAGCCUUCGAUGGAUAGGGGUUCUGAGCGGAAUGUACCCCACAUUGGAACAGGGAAACGGGCCAAACUCCUACAGGAGGCAGCAGUGAGGAAGAUUGGUGAAUGAGCGGGAGCCUGAACCAGCCAAGUAGCGUGAAGGAUGAAGGCUUAUGGGUCGUAAACUUCUUUUAUAUAAGAAUAUGUAUUAUAUGAAUAAGGAUCGGCUAACUCCGAGCCAGCAGCCGCGGUAAUAC